UAUCCCAACCACUGUCCCCACCACUGUCACUACUCCUAGCCACACCACCUCCACUACUCCUAUCCCAACCACUGUCCCCACCACUGUUACUACUCCUAGCCACAACACCUCCCCUACUCCUAUCCCAACCACUGUCCCCACCACUGUUACUACUCCUAGCCACACCACCUCCCCUACUCCUAUCCCAACCACUGUCCCCACCACUGUUACUACUCCUAGCCACACCACCUCCCCUACUCCUAUCCCAACCACUGUCCCCACCACUGUCACUACUCCUAGCCACACCACCUCCACUACUCCUAUCCCAACCACUGUCCCCACCACUGUUACUACUCCUAGCCACACCACCUCCCCUACUCCUAUCCCAACCACUGUCCACACCACUGUUACUACUCCUAGCCACACCACCUCCCCUAGUCCUAUCCCAAUCACUGUCCCCACCAAUGUCCCUUCUACUAUUCCUGCUGCUUCUUCUACUUCUCUACCCAGGACUGACCCUACUGCUGUUUCCCCUAUUGUCCCUUCAACUGUCCCCACCACUGUUUCCACCACUGCACUUCCUACUGUUCCCACUACUGCCCUUACUGCUGUUUCCCCCAUUGUCCCUUCCACGGUUUCAACAAUUGUCCCUACCACUGUCCCUUCUAGUAACCCCACCACUGCUAUUCCUACUGUCCCCACCGCUGUACCCACUGCUGCUUCUUCUACUGCUUUCCCCACCACUGUCCAUCCGACUGUGCCCACCACUGCCCUUCCUACUACACCCACCAUUUUCCCUACAGCUGUCCCCACCACUGUCCCCACUGCUGUCCCCGCCACUACCUCCACCACAGCAUUUAUGGAACUACAUGUAAAAAUGUGUGUCCAUCUUCAGGGGUAUUGUUGCAUCAGCAACUGAAGACCAAGAGAAAAAUCUGGAGGUUAGUUCAUGACAUAUAAUUGCUAGAAAAAUGCUAUUUGUUUUCAGUCAGAUUAAUAUUAUUUGUUUAGUAUUGUAAUUUAUUUGAUGAUCUGGAACAUGUAAGUGUGACAGAUAUGCAAAAAAAAAGAAUAAAAAAGAAUAAAAAAAGAAACCAGGAAGACAGAAAACAGUUCUUCACAGCACCGCAUACUAAUUUACAAGGGUGUGUGUGUUUCUACUUACAAAGAAAUGAACUGUAUUUAAUAAGUAUGGCGGUUUCAUUUUAAUAGAUAAAGAAAAAAAAGACUCAUUAUGCAAAAGUUACAAAUCAGUUUGCAUUUAAUUGAGUAAAAUAAGUAUUUGAUCCUCUGCAACCCAGCCAGAAUCAAUCAAUUAAAACACACAUGUUUGGGCACCUUUCUCACAGAGAGAGGGAGAGUUGAGUUAUGAAACAACAAAUCUUUGUAUGAGAAAACAGUCUAAAUUCUGAUCUAAUCUAACAAAGGGGGUUCUAACAGCAGUUUAACAUUUUGGAUCCGUCCAAAAACAAUUACCAGAAGUCCCGUCGCUCCACAAUAGUCAACUUAGGCAGGUUUUACUUUUGAUCCAAUUAAAUAAUUAAAAAAUAAUGACACCAAAAUUAAAAUUGAAUGGAUGAUUUUUAGAGCUGUUUUCAUCGUUUCAAUAUAGUCUAUAGUCUCCUGGAUGUAUAAAUUGUAUUUUACAAAAUAUUUCUCCUGUGUCAGUGUUUGAAAUUUGUUAUGAUG
ensembl:lncRNA